UACGUAGGCAGCGAGCGUUGUUCGGAGUUACUGGGCGUAAAGGGUGUGUAGGCGGUUCUUUUAAGUUUAGUGUGAAAUCUCCCGGCUCAACCGGGAGGGUGCGCCGAAUACUGAGGGACUCGAGUGCGGGAGAGGAAAGUGGAAUUCCUGGUGUAGCGGUGAAAUGCGUAGAUAUCAGGAGGAACACCGGUGGUGUAGACGGCUUUCUGGACCGUAACUGACGCUGAGACACGAAAGCGUGGGUAGCAAACAGG
rnacentral:rRNA from 1 species